GCCAGAGGCCAUGGUGGGGUGGGGGGAGGCCCCAGGACAGGGCCCUGGUCGAACCCCCUUGGGAUGGUCACUGCUCUGCCCUUCCGGGGCCCCUGCCUGCGCUGUGCCCUUGGUGCUGGUCACCAGGAGCCACAUAGCACUGUGGACAUACCGGGAAGGUCACCUCCCGGCCACCUGGAAGGCCUUGCUAGUCGGCCCUCUCCUCACACGUGGACACAGAAGUAACCGGCCGGCGAGCACCACGGGACCAGACCCAGCACCCCUGCCCUUCAUCUGACAGCCCGACUGCACCCCACACCCCACGCCCCACACAGGUCUGCGCCUCCCGGUGCCUGGGAGAUGUAUGUAAGCCUGGUCACACUGUGGCCACCUUCCAUCAAGGGUGCAGACAGACAGACAGCAGUCUGGGCACCUGCUAGUGAUCUGAGUACAUCCCCUGGACUGUGCACCCCGUCAGGAAGCGGCAUUGGGCUGGCGGCGGCUGCGACUGAGAGGCAAGGGACACACCGGGAGCGACGGGAGACUUCUUCCCCUCCACCCCCCUCCCAGCGCUGUGCCCUGAAACACUUCUCUGAUUUCGGUGGGGGUGGGAAAAAAAAAAAGAAAAAAAAUCCUGUUCCAGGGAUGGUUUCGGCGCCGGUGCCGGCGCGCCCCCUGCCGGCCACGCUGGGAACCGCGCGAGGGACGGGGAGGUGGUCCCUUUGCGUUCCACCUGCAGACCAGCCUCCCAGGUCCCACGUAAUCCUGAGACCCGGGGCACAGACUCUUCAAAUGCUCAAAAAUAAAACCCCCAAACCCCAAAGACCACCACCCCUCUGGGGGCAGGGUUCCACAGUGGAGGCGCUCCCAGGGGGCUGGAGGCCUCUGCGGGCUUCAUGGGUGAGGGUGCCUGCGCUGCUGGCCCUGCCCGCCUCUGGGGUGGGAGGGGCGGCCGGUCAGCAUCUGACCCGCCCCCAACUCUCCUGUGCCACUCGCCCCCCGCUCCCCCACCCCCCAAAGCACCGGUCACUCCUACCGGGGCACCGGCACACAGACCCCGUGUGUCCAUCCGCAUCGGCCUCACCCCUGGGAGGCCCCUGGUCCUGGAGAGGGAAGGGAGGUCAGAGAGCUGGAGGCGGGAGUCAGUACCCCCCCGCCACCCACCCCACCGGGGCCUCCGCUGUGAGCCCCAGCCCCACCCCGAGCAUCUUGCAAACAGGCAGAGAGGCCGGGCCGCACCCUGCUGCAGCUCUACCACCCAAGGGAAAAGGCUCAGGAAGCAAAGGGAUGGACUGGUGA
rnacentral:lncRNA from 1 species